CCAUUGAAUUUAGACACCCCGUAGGAGUAAUUUUUAUCAAUUUAGAAAACUUAUAUUUUAAGGCAGCCUGCUUUUCCACAUCAGGGAGUUUGCAAUUGCUCGUCCAUAUCCUUUUUGCCUCUUUUUUCUUUCUUGUUUUAAUUUUCUUCGAGUAGAAUCACGCUCACAAUAGGCUAUUUAUUGCUUCAAUUUUUGCUAACUUCAAAGAUUUGAAAUCCUGAGAUCUUUCUCUUAAUGGCAGCCCAGCCCACAAGAAAUUGAAAAUUGGUGCCCAGAAAAACAAGAGCCGCGCCGGAGGGAAGGGUUGCCGAAGCUGUGAGCCAUGCGUGGGCGAGAGAAAGGGAGAGAGGGGCUGCCUAGCUCUUGGCUGUGCGUGGGCGAGAGAGAGGGAAGGGAACAGAGAAGAAAAUAAGGUUUCGAAAAAAUUAAAGUGACUUUUGUGGUAUGGCAAUGAAUCCUUGCGUGAGCCAGAACCCGCUCUUGCAUAUUUUGAUCCUCAAGUCAUCGAAGGAAACAGUCUUAAUCGACCCCGCUGAAGAAAUCUUAAAGGAUCUGACAAAUGGAAUGGUUCUGUCAAUUGGCAUGUUCCUGGGUCCCUUGGUUUCUGUGACAAAUGGGUCGAUCUUGACCCAUAGCAAGGAGAAAAUGGAGGCCAAAAGCACAGACCAUAUAACAACAACGGUAGGUGUUCGAUUUUGCCGCGCCAUGAGACCUUUAAGGAAUGGAUAGAGAUGGACAAUCACCCAAGAGGCAAAGAAGAGCUUCCCAAACAGAGUUCCCCACGCUUCAUAGCCACUGCUUAUGGCAACAGAGAGCCCGCCAACAACUCCAACAAGGUUUAUAAUUAAGAGAGUGGUUGGAGGGAUAAGGAGAGUGGUCCAUUUGAAGGCAUAUAGUUCCCCGAACUCCUCAUCUUCUGAUACUUUGGAUAUGAUGGGGGUUUUGGUGUCGGUUCCUGCCAAAAUAUUGAGAAGACCUUGUACAAUGGCAAGGAGGUGUGCAGAUACCCCACCAAUCACCCAGAACUGCUCAUUUCUCCACCAUUCCUGGAUGCUCACUCCACUCCACCUCUGCUCAAGUAUGCCCGUUGUGAAGAUUGAGAUAAGCAAAGCAAUGAAGAAGAGACUUGCAAGUGUGCUUAUCUGGAUCACAAAAGAAUCUGGAAUUAGCUUACUCAGUAAAGAGGACAUUCAAAAAUGUGAUGAUUCUUUUUUGUUAUACACAGCAUUGGAAAGAUGAGUUUAUUUGUUUAUAUUUGCAGCAUUUGUUAAUGUGCAUACUUCAUUGCAUUUAUAUGAUCAAAAAUUAAUGUUA